ACUCCUUCGACGAGUCGAGUUGUUUGGGAAUGCAGCUCAAAAUGGGUGGUAUAUUUCAUCUAAAGCUAAAUACCGGCCAGAGACCGAUAGCGCACAAGUAGAGUGAUCGAAAGAUGAAAAGCACUUUGGAAAGAGAGUCAAAAAGUACGUGAAAUUGUUGAAAGGGAAGCGCUCGCACCCAGACCUGCCCGCGGCCGAUCAACCGUCCUUCUGGGCGGUGCACUCGGUCGCGAUCAGGCCAGCAUCGGUUCGGGCGGCCGGAUAAAGGCCCUGGGAACGUAGCUCCUUUCGGGGAGUGUUAUAGCCCUCGGUGCAAUGCGGCCAGCCUGGACCGAGGACCGCGCUUCGGCUAGGAUGCUGGCGUAAUGGUUGUGAGCGGCCCGUCUUGAAACACGGACCAAGGAGUCUAACAUCUAUGCGAGUGUUUGGGUGUCAAACCCAUGCGCGUAAUGAAAGUGAACGGAGGUGGGAACCCAUUCGGGCGCACCAUCGACCGAUCCAGAUGUCUUCGGAUGGAUUUGAGUACGAGCAUAGCUGUUGGGACCCGAAAGAUGGUGAACUAUGCCUGAAUAGGGUGAAGCCAGAGGAAACUCUGGUGGAGGCUCGCAGCGGUUCUGACGUGCAA
rnacentral:rRNA from 1 species